AGUCAUUGAAGUGCUACCAACUCAGCUAAUCCCAGAUGACAAUGAAGGCAAAGUUUUGAGAGUGAGAUUGAUAAUGAAGGAAGGAGUGAAAAACUUCAAUCCAGUUUACCUGUUCGAUGAAGGAUCGACAAUCUCAUGGAUUCCUUGUGGUAGGAAGUUGACUUGUUCUUACCCUGGCAUCAAAUUCACCUAUGGCCCUGAUACCUACUUUGGCAAUGAGGUAUAUGUUGCAUUCUUUCUCUACCUGCCAAAACUUGAUCAUACUAAUCAAUCGACUCUCUUGCCUUGUGGUCGACAUUCCAUUCCCCUUAGUGAUAGGUGCUCGUUCUAUUCUGAUUUGAAUGAGCCGAGCUCCCUAGGUACAUAUGGUUGGCCUUUAUGGUGUCUCAGUGAUACAAACAUAGAAAAUUUGGAAAGG
rnacentral:lncRNA from 1 species